UUAGCAGACAGACAGACAGGUAACGUGUUAGCAGAGAGAGACAGACAGGUAACGUGUUAGCAGACAGACAGACAGGUAACGUGUUAGCAGACAGACAGACAGGUAACGUGUUAGCAGACAGACAGACAGGUAACGUGUUAGCAGAGAGAGAGACAGACAGGUAACGUGUUAGCAGACAGACAGACAGGUAACGUGUUAGCAGACAGACAGACAGGUAACGUGUUAGCAGAGAGAGAGACAGGUAACGUGUUAGCAGACAGACAGACAGGUAAC